rnacentral:misc_RNA from 1 species
CCGAGUGCGGGUCCUCGUGGCCCAACCUCCCAACCCUUUGUUUACUGAACCACUGUUGCUUCGGCGGGCCCGUCUCUCUCCCGAGACCGCCGGGGGAUCGCUUCACGGCGUCCCCUGGCCCGCGCCCGCCGGUGGCCCUUUACACAAAACUCUUCUGAACAUCAAAUCGUGUCUUGACCUAAGUCUCUUUUAUGAUUAUUGAAUCAAAAAAAC